rnacentral:lncRNA from 1 species
UGAAUAAAUACAGUAUGUUCUGUCCUCUUUACCUGGCUGAAUAUCCUUUUAAUUAGACAUAUUCUGCACUAUGACAUACCAAGCGUGUGUGUUGCAGGUGGCACGGCAAUCACUGCACAGGCCAGCAGUGGUACUGCAUUUGUCUACACUGCAGGUUCUGGAUGGCAUGACAGUCACCCUGGAAGAAAGAACUAGAGCAGAGCUUUUAAAUAAUGAAGCACAGGGUUCUAGUUCAGGUGGUGAAAUGACUUUACCCGGUUUGGUACCAUUGGUGGCCCGACCAGCUCCUUUAAGAGGUACAGGCAUACACACUCUCGUACCUGAUCAGCAAGAAGACACUCAUGAUACCAGCAGAUGUACGUAUACAUACAGUACAGACACACACCAAAUGUGUAUAUUAAACACAAAUGCACAUCAUGUACAAUUUUCAUGUGUGUUUUUAGAUAAGAAGCAGAAGACAGUUGUCUCUCUCUUGCGUGGAGUUCAGAGUUACAUCAACUUCAGGCAGAUAAGAGGAUCUUCCAGCCACUACAUGACAGCGCUGCAGCAGACCGGAUAUAGAGUUCUCUCCACUUUCCCUAACACUGAUCCUGAGACCAGGUACCAGUGUCACAGUGUACCCAGACCUCCUCCUCCUCCUCCUCCUC